GGUUCUAUGGUGUUAUGGUUAGGACUUUGGACUUUCAAUUCAGCGAUCCGAGUUCAAAUCUCGGUAAAACCC
rnacentral:tRNA from 1 species